rnacentral:rRNA from 1 species
GGGUACUCGAGUGGCGAACGGGUGAGUAACACGUGGGUGAUCUGCCUUGCACUUCGGGAUAAGCCUGGGAAACUGGGUCUAAUACCGGAUAGGACCAUGCUUUAGUGUGUGUGGUGGAAAGUUUUUUCGGUGCAAGAUGAGCCCGCGGCCUAUCAGCUUGUUGGUGGGGUAAUGGCCUACCAAGGCGGCGACGGGUAGCCGGCCUGAGAGGGUGUACGGCCACAUUGGGACUGAGACACGGCCCAGACUCCUACGGGAGGCAGCAGUGGGGAAUAUUGCACAAUGGGCGCAAGCCUGAUGCAGCGACGCCGCGUGGGGGAUGACGGCCUUCGGGUUGUAAACUCCUUUCGCUAGGGAAGAAGCCACUGUGUGGUGACGGUACCUGGAUAAGAAGCACCGGCUAACUACGUGCCAGCAGCCGCGGUAAUACGUAGGGUGCGAGCGUUGUCCGGAAUUACUGGGCGUAAAGAGCUCGUAGGUGGUUUGUCGCGUCGUCUGUGAAAUCCCGGGGCUUAACUUCGGGCGUGCAGGCGAUACGGGCAUAACUAGAGUGCUGUAGGGGAGACUGGAAUUCCUGGUGUAGCGGUGAAAUGCGCAGAUAUCAGGAGGAACACCGAUGGCGAAGGCAGGUCUCUGGGCAGUUACUGACGCUGAGGAGCGAAAGCAUGGGUAGCGAACAGGAUUAGAUACCCUGGUAGUCCAUGCCGUAAACGGUGGGCGCUAGGUGUGGGGUUUUAUUUACGAUUCCCGUGCCGUAGCUAACGCAUUAAGCGCCCCGCCUGGGGAUACGCCGCAAG